rnacentral:misc_RNA from 1 species
UUUCCGUAGGUGAACCUGCGGAAGGAUCAUUAAUGAUUGCGAAUGGUUGCCUUCAGUGCUGGCUCUCCCGAGCAGGUGCACGUUGGUGGCUUUCAUCCAAUUCCACACCCUUGUGAACCUUUGGCCUCUUGCUGGCUUCGGCUGGCAGAGGAUUUUACAUAUACUCGAAUGUAAUGAAAACUAUUGUUGUGCGCAAGCACUAAUAUACAACUUUCAACAACGGAUCUCUUGGCUCUC